rnacentral:misc_RNA from 1 species
UUAAGUUCAGCGGGUAUCCCUACCUGAUCCGAGGUCAAAAUAAAAAGAUGCUUAUGGGAGCAAGUCCACCGGACUCGAGACCGCGUUUCUGCUGCGCUCGAAGCCAAUGUACCGGCCGCCAAUGUAUUUGGGGCGAGUCCUAACACGAGGAGAGGACAGUCACCCAUCACAAGCUGAGCUUGAAGGUUUAAAUGACGCUC